rnacentral:rRNA from 1 species
GACGAACGCUGGCGGCGUGCUUAACACAUGCAAGUCGAACGAAGAGCGAUGGAAGCUUGCUUCUAUCAAUCUUAGUGGCGAACGGGUGAGUAACGCGUAAUCAACCUGCCUUCAGAGGGGGGACAACAGUUGGAAACGACUGCUAAUACCGCAUACGAUCUAAUCUCGGCAUCGAGGAUAGAUGAAAGGUGGCCUCUACAUGUAAGCUAUCACUGAAGGAGGGGAUUGCGUCUGAUUAGCUAGUUGGAGGGGUAACGGCCCACCAAGGCGAUGAUCAGUAGCCGGUCUGAGAGGAUGAACGGCCACAUUGGGACUGAGACACGGCCCAGACUCCUACGGGAGGCAGCAGUGGGGAAUCUUCCGCAAUGGACGAAAGUCUGACGGAGCAACGCCGCGUGAGUGAUGACCGGCUUCGGGUUGUAAAGCUCUGUUAAUCGGGACGAAAGGCCUUCUUGCGAAUAGUUAGAAGGA